rnacentral:rRNA from 1 species
UACGGGGGGGGCAAGCGUUGUUCGGAAUUACUGGGCGUAAAGGGCUCGUAGGCGGCCAACUAAGUCAGACGUGAAAUCCCCAGGCUCAACCUGGGAACUGCGUCUGAUACUGGAUGGCUUGAAUCCGGGAGAGGGAUGCAGAAUUCCAGGUGUAGCGGUGAAAUGCGUAGAUAUCUGGAGGAACACCGGUGGCGAAGGCGGCAUCCUGGACCGAUACUGACGCUGAUGAGCGAAAGCCAGGGGAGCAAACGGG